GUCCACGCCCUAAACGAUGUCAACUGGUUGUUGGGUCUUCACUGACUCAGUAACGAAGCUAACGCGUGAAGUUGACCGCCUGGGGAGUACGGCCGCAAGGUUGAACUCAAAUGAAUUGACGGGGACCCGCACAAGCGGUGGAUGAUGUGGUUUAAUUCGAUGCAACGCGAAAACCUUACCCACCUUUGACAUGUACGGAAGUCGCUAGAGAUAGCUUCGUGCUCGAAAGAGAGCCGUAACACAGGUGCUGCAUGGCUGUCGU
rnacentral:rRNA from 1 species